ACCGUUGCUGACUGCUGCGAUUCCAAAAGCCGCGUGUUAAGUAUUUUGCUGGACAAAGGCGCUAAAGUAGAUCACCAGGAUAACGAUGAUGAUACAGCAUUGUCUCUGCUCAUCGAAAGUGUGUCUACAUAUGAAAACCAGUAUCUCAGACCCAUGAUUUUGCUGAAGAGCCUUCUGAAGGCAGGUGCUGAUGUGGAGCUUCCUGAAAGCCCAGCCACUGGUCCUUUGCACAGGGCAGCCAAGAAGGGUCUUAAUUACUUCGUUGAACAACUCACAGAGG